GGCUCCUUCCACUAGAGGAGGAAGGAGAAAAAAAUGCCACGGUGGCUGUGCCCCGUGGAGGCUUCGGGGUCGGUCCCCUCGUCCCCAGCGAUGCCGUAUCGAAAUUAAUAUUUCUGGAAGGCUUGCCACUGUUGCACAGCGCUUCGGCUGAAAACAGGGACCGUGCCAGUGCAAGGAAUCUGAGUGGAGGGAUCUACCUGGACAGCCUUUUGUUAUGAUAAUGCUGUUGCCAGGAUAUGUGGCUGCAUGACAUCAAAUUGUGAAACCUAUUUGUCUCUUGGGAGAAGUUAACAUAGCUCUGAGAAACCCCUGGUUCAUAGCUCCUAUUUCAGAUUCUCUGUGACGGAAAGUUGACUUCAGUGCUUUGGGCAGCGAUGGUGGUGUAGAACGGGUGCUUACCCCCUCAUUCUCUGGCCAAAAGGUGCCAUGUUU